AUUUACCUAAAACACAAAUAUGACAACAAACCUCAACUUAAAAGCUUUUCGAUGGUUCCCUGUUGCCUACAGAACAUAAUUAGAGCUUCUUAGCAUGGUUUACUAGGCCGGUCUACUUUACCCAGGCCCAGCCCAUCUCUACAGCUGUGUUCCUUGAUACUCUGGAACUUCCCUUUAAAGAUUGCCAAAAUUCUUGCGGAUCUGGCCGAUUCCACAUUGUUUCACUUCUCAGUGCCUUUGCUUAUGCCGAUUUACCAUUCCCACCUGGGAAUCUCACCCUUCUCCACCUGGGUAAAGGCUACUUUCCUGCAAAACUCAGGCAUCAGAAAGUUCUUCCUGAAUCCCCGCUGGACUGUUAAGUAAACUACGUUGCCAGUACUAUAUUAUUUUAUCAAUGUAUUGGUCCUUUUCUGCCUCUAGAUUGCGCAUUCCUUGGGAGCAGAGGUUACACGUUUGCAGCCCAGGUAUUGGCUUUCUCGAUAGAGGUGGCAAGUGUGAAUGGAAGGGGGCAGACUCCGGAGUUUGUCUGAGGGGCUGAUAGGUGGAAACGCAGAAUAAGGCGGAGCCUGGACAAGUCGGCCUGGAAAGCUAGGCGAGUGACUGUGCGUGGGACGAGGUCUCGUGAGUGGAUGAGGAAGAAGUGUAACUUUAACUUCCUGACCACAGGACAGACAACUACGGUGUGGGGGCAGAUAGUAAUAAGGCAAUGGGAGGAAAAAUUACUUUCAGGGAGGGGUACGAAUUCUCGGGAAGGGGACAUUUGUUUGUGUAGAGUUUUGGAAGACUAGCCGCCUACCGGAACCUCCAGUCUUCCGUCUUUGUUCCUCCCGGGUGGAGGCGCGCUCCCCUCUGCCCCUAGAGUUCCCGCGGCGCCUGCGCCCUUGUUCUUAAACCCGCCUCUUCCGGCCAACUCUUGGGGGGCGUGGCGGCCCUUGCAAAAUGGCGGCGUCCGGGAAGAUUAUGUUUCCGGAGAAAUCAAGCCACAAAAAGUAUAGGGCCGCCCUGAAGAAGGCGAAACGAAAGAAACGACGGCAGGAACUGGCUCGAUUGAGGGACUCAGGACUCUCACAGAAGGAGGAGGAGGAUGCUUUUAUUGAAGAACAGCACCUGGAAGAAGAGAAGCUGUGGGAGAUAGAGAGGUCAGCAGUAAUCGGAGCACUUCCUCAUGAACCCAGUUGUUUUAUUUGAAUAUUAUAAGUCUUGGGGCACAUGCAUGGCUCAGUUGGUUGGGCAUCUGACUCUUGAUCUCAGCGCAGGUCUUGAUUUCAGGAUCAUGACUUUAAGCCCUGUGUUGGGCUCCAUGCCCAGCCUACUUAAGAAAAAAAUUUUAAAAAUAAAUAUUAUAAGUCUUUACGAACUAGUACAGGUCUUCUUAUAACACCUUAUACAAAACGGGUCUUAUAAUCCUGGAUAAAAUAUUUAAAUCACCACCUGACAGACUAAAAUUAGAUGUUCUAAUUUUUCUUAAAUGGGAGUAUUUUUCACUAUUUUUGCUAAUUUGAAAAUGUUUUGAAAAAGAAAGUAAGUCUAAAGAGUGAAAGAGCUUCAAUGAAUUCAGCACACCCAAAGAUAGCCACUGUUAAAAAUGUAAGAGUGUAGAUGUACUGUGUGUUUAUAUCUAUAAUGGGAGGUUAUUUAUGCAUUUUAAUUGCUUUUUUUGCUUAAUAUAGGACCUAUAUUUCAGUAUUGAUUCACAUACCUAAUUCAACCAUUUCAGUGGCAACAUCGUGUCCAUUGUAUGGAUGUAGCAUAAUAUAUUAUUUAUUAUUUUAUUUAUUUUAUUUUUUUAUAUCAUAAUUUAUUCUUGGUUCAUAAUCUGUAGUUCUCUACUGAUGGACAUUCAGGUUAUUUACUAUUAAAUAACAUUCACUUACUAUUUACUGUGAACUUCCUAUUUCCUAUUAUUUCCUAUUAAUUUAUACUCAGAUAUUUUUACAAUUCUAUAAAAAGUUGCCAUGAGUAUCCAUGCUUAUAUAUCUUUGGUAAUUGUCCUAUUAUUUCCUCAGGAAAAUGCCUAGAAAUGAAAUUGUUGGGAUCAAAAGAUAAGUACACGUAAAAUGUUGAUGGUUGGGUAGAAGGGGCUCCCCAGUUUGCAGCCUUUCUAGCAGUGAAUCGAGGGGCCUUUAUCCCCAUACCUUCUUCACUUACACCAGGCAUCAAGUUUUAAAACUAUCGUGAAAAGUUGCAUUUCAUUGUUUUGUUUUUCUUAAGAUUUUCUUUAUUUAUUUGUCAGAGAGCGCGCGCGUGUGAGCACAAACGGGGAGUAGCAGGCAGUGGGAGAAGCAGGCUUCCCAUUGAGCAGGGAGCCCAAUGCAGAACUCAGUCCCAGGACCCUGGGGUCAUGACCUGAGCCAAAGGCUGACUGGCUUAACUGACUGAGCCACCCAGGCAUCCCACAUUUCAUUGUUUCAAAUGUUCAUUUCUUAGUCAAGUUUGUGUGUUUUUAAAUAAAUUUUAUUACCUAUUUUAGAUUGCUUAAGUCUUCCGCCUUUCUCUUUUGGGAUACAUUAUUUUAAGUUUGUUGUAUAAGCAAGGUUAUUACUGAUUAAGGAUAUCUGUCCUUUAUCGGUCAUAUGUGUGAUAUAUGUUUUUCUCAUUUGUCAUCAGUCCUAACACGGCUUAUGGCAUUACCAUAAUUUGAUUUUCAUGUCAUCAACUUUCAUCAUGAUAUCUGACCGUGGUACGGGCUAUAAAAGGCCUCCUCCAUCCCAAGAUGAUGAAAAUCUUCUAUUUUUCUCUCUUAGUAUUUUUCAGGGGGUAGUUUUUUCCCCAAAUGGUGCACAAUAAUGUGAAUGUGCUUAAUGUUAUUCAACUGUACACUUAAAAAUGGUUAAAAUCCUAAAUUUUAUGGUGUGUCUAUUUUGCCACAAUAAAAACCUAUUUUUAAAAGGAGUAAAAAAGACUUUAUAGACACUCUAGCUAUUUAGUGGCAUGUUUAGUAGGGACUGUUGCUGCUUUGCAUGGAAUUCACUCCUGUUCUCCACCUAGGCACGUAAAGAGGCACAAUCAGCAAAAUGCCAAAAGAAAAUGUAGUAGUGAUUGAGAACGUGCAGUCGAUUGAGCCAGAGCUGCCUCCUGGUCCUGGCCCUGCCACUUAUUAGCUGUGUUCAUAUUGUUUAUCUCUCUAAGCUUCAAUUUCCUUGUCUUAAAUAAGGAGAAAAAAUGGAAAUAAAAUCAAUCCUAGUACCUACCUCAUGGAAGUGGGGGGAUGAAACGAGGUGGCAAGUAUAUGCACUUAACAUAGUGUUAGUAGAUAGGAGAUGCUGUAAUAACUGGUUGUUCGAGAUUUCUGGUGUGAUGAAGAUAUAUAUGGUAUGAAAUAGGGGUCGGUUUUUUUUUGUUUUCCCAUUUAAUUUGAGGUGCUUCUUUUAAAUCAGAUAACCAGAUCUUUAUGUUCCUUUGGUCUUUGUUCCUGUCCCAGUCGCAUAAUAGUGUGUUGUUGAAAAGCAGGAGGAUUAGUUCUGUGGAAACACUGUCUGGCUUUAUGUACUGCCUUAAAACACAUGUCUAGCAUCAGAGAAUAACACAGGCAGAUGUUAAAGUGGCGAGAACAGAUUGUAUUGCGUUACUCCCCACUGUAGGGGAAAGAGCUGUAGGGGAAAGAGCGGAGCUCCACUCUGAUUUGUGCAGGGAGCUCCAUUCUGAUUUGUGCCGGGGCGAUUGGCCCCUUUACAAGGAGGGGCAGUGAGGGAGGCGUGCAGGGGUGCAGGGGAAUUAGCGAGGGGAGGAAGUACAGAGGGUUGGUCCGGGUAAAUGUGACUAGGCCAGCUGCGUCUGUUAGGCACUUAGGGAAGUUAGGAUUCUAGUCUUUCACAGACACUGAGACACAGGGGCCUUCUUAAAGAUUACAUUUCCAAGAAAUGGCUCUCAGGUCCUUGAGAGAGGCCUAGUCACAAUUAUAACCCGUUUUUAGUAAAUGCUCUAAGCAGGCGAGGGCAGGGGCCUGUCUGUGCUCCUGUGUUGGCUAGAGCAGACAGUGCAUUUUCCUGGCAGCUUUGAGCUUUCUCCGCGGGCGUUUUAAUGGGCAGGGAGGAGGGGCUGGGGUCAACCUGAGGGCACAGCCUGCCACUGCUGGAAGCCAUGCUAGCCUGUCCUCCAGUCUUCCCAGUGCUGGGGUGUGAUGGAGCUGUGUGAGCCGCGGUUCUCCAGUUCUGCUACUCAACAGUAUAUGCAAGUUAGAAAAGUUGAAACUUUGUAACCGUUGACUCUUUUGAGGUCUUAGAUUUAGAUGGGCUUUGGUUUGGUUUAUAUGCAAUUAAUUUGUUCCUCAAAAGACUCCUAAGUCAAGAGUUCUGCACACCAAAACAUCUGUACUUAACCACAAGGUGCACAGGCCUGGGGACCGAUGCAGUAUGCCCGCCUCUACUGUGGGGGAAAGAUGUGUUCCUGCAAUGUGUAGUUGGAGAUGGAAUCUCUUUUCCCAUAGGGCACUCGAAAUUGUGAAGAGGUUCCCCAGGCUAUACAUAAAACCUUAUGUAACGCCUCCUAUUGCUGAAGUAAUACAGAACCGUUUCUCAUAUUUCACUUCCUUUCUCCAAAUUCAGUGGGAAAAUGCAGCCUACGUUCUAAACACCCAAUUGACUUUUGAAAUGUAACCCAUUGUGGGGUGCCUGGUGGCUCAGUCAGUGAAGUAUCUGCCUUCAGCUCAGGUCAUGAUCUCAGGGUCCUGGGAUUGAGCCCCACGUGGAGCUCCCUGAGCAGGGAGCCUGUUUUUCCCUCUGCCUGCCACUCCCCCUGCUUGUAUGCUCACUCAAUCUCUCUGCCAAAUAAAUAAAAUCUUUAAAAAAAAAAAAAAAAAGGAGAAGAAAAAGAAAUGUAACCUAUCUUUCAGUUAGAAACUUGUGGUAUUGGAUGUCUGAGAUGCUUGCCAUUUUAAGAUAACAUCACUCUUUGUAAUUGGUCAUUUUUAAAAAUAAACUAGACACCUGUUAAUUUAUUUGUAUAACUCCUUGUCAUCUUAAAACCCGUAGCUUCCUUUAUUUUAAAACAUGCUCAGAGUUUUAUUUCCCUUCUUUGAGCAGUUUAUGUGCUUGGGGCAAGCCACGGCCAACUCUUAACUGUCUAGAGGAGCAGUGCAAAGAUAGAGGGUGGCAGAGGUUUUCCUAGUGCCAUGGUC
rnacentral:lncRNA from 1 species